UAAUUUUCUAAAAUUGCAUUGCUUGUUCAUAAACCCUUUCCCCCCUUUCCAGAAACGGGUUCAUAUAUAAACAAUCUCGCCAUUUUCGGCGAUUUAGGGUUCGUUUGUCUCUGCAGAAAAUGGCUGAUUCGCGUGUAAAAAGGUAUUCACGCUCUCCUUCUCCUUGGGAAGAAGAAAAGGUAAGAUCUAGAUCCAGGUUAAGGUCUAGAUCCCAGUCUAGGUCAUGGUCGAGGCCAAGAGGAAGAUCUAGGUCCAGAUCAAGGUCAAGAAGUCAAGGAAGAGUUGAACCUUCUAAUCCUGGCACCACACUUUAUGUAACUGGUUUAUCCACAAGGGUGACACAGAGGGACCUUGAGGAGCAUUUCUCAAAAGAGGGAAAGUUAAAAUCAGCUUUCUUGGUUGUAGAACCGCGUUCUCGUAUAUCUCGUGGUUUUGCUUUUAUAACAAUGGAUAGUCUUGAGGAUGCCAAUCGCUGCAUUAAGCACCUAAAUCAGUCUGUCCUUGAAGGCCGCUACAUAACAGUGGAGAAGUCACGAAGGAAACGCCCGAGGACUCCAACACCUGGUCACUAUCUAGGGCUUAAGAACGCAAGGGGCGAUGGUUUUCGUGGCGUUGAUCGUGGUGGUGACCGUGGUAGGUAUCGUGGCCGUGAGGACUAUGGGCGCCUUGAAGACUAUGGGUACAGAAGAUCUCCUCCAAGGCGUUUGCCUUACCGAGAUUAUUCUCCUAGGCGCUCGCCUUACGGGGGAAGGUCAAGAAGGGAACGAUCCAGGUCAUAUUCUCCUUAUGAAAGGAAGUAUGGUAGAUAGGCUGAAAACUGUUUGUUAAGGAUCUUUAUGCAAUAAUAGACAUUAAAUUCUAUACAUUUGAAUGAGACUCAAACUAAAGCAAUUGAACGACAUUGAAAACAUAUAGAAUAUUCAAUAACUGUGA